GUCAUCAUGGCCCUUACGACCAGGGCUACACACGUGCUACAAUGGCGCAUACAAAGAGAAGCGACCUCGCGAGAGCAAGCGGACCUCAUAAAGUGCGUCGUAGUCCGGAUUGGAGUCUGCAACUCGACUCC
rnacentral:rRNA from 1 species